rnacentral:tRNA from 1 species
AGGCAAUUACUUUAAUUUAAAAGUUUUGAUUUCGACUCAAAGAUUUGCGGUUAAAAUCCGCAAUUGCCUA